GACGAACGCUGGCGGCGUGCUUAACACAUGCAAGUCGAACGAAGAGCGACGGAAGCUUGCUUCUAUCAAUCUUAGUGGCGAACGGGUGAGUAACGCGUAAUCAACCUGCCCUUCAGAGGGGGACAACAGUUGGAAACGACUGCUAAUACCGCAUACGAUCUAACCUCGGCAUCGAGGAUAGAUGAAAGGUGGCCUCUACAUGUAAGCUAUCACUGAAGGAGGGGAUUGCGUCUGAUUAGCUAGUUGGAGGGGUAACGGCCCACCAAGGCGAUGAUCAGUAGCCGGUCUGAGAGGAUGAACGGCCACAUUGGGACUGAGACACGGCCCAGACUCCUACGGGAGGCAGCAGUGGGGAAUCUUCCGCAAUGGACGAAAGUCUGACGGAGCAACGCCGCGUGAGUGAUGACGGCCUUCGGGUUGUAAAGCUCUGUUAAUCGGGACGAAAGGCCUUCUUGCGAAUAGUGAGAAGGAUUGACAGUACCGGAAUAGAAAGCCACGGCUAACUACGUG
rnacentral:rRNA from 1 species